CAUUUCUCUGAUGGCCAGUGAUGAUGAGCAUUUUUUCAUGUGUCUUUUGGCUUCAUAAAUGUCUUCUUUUGAGAAGUGUCUGUUCAUGUCCUUUGCCCACUUUUUGAUGGGGUUUUUUGUUUUUUUCUUGUAAAUUUGUUUGAGUUCAUUGUAGAUUCUGGAUAUUAGCCCUUUGUCAGAUGAGUAGGUUGCGAAAAAUUUCUCCCAUUUUGUAGGUUGCCUGUUCACUCUGAUGGUAGUUUCUUUUGCUGUGCAGAAGCUCUUUAG
rnacentral:lncRNA from 1 species